rnacentral:rRNA from 1 species
UACGAGGGGGCAAGCGUUGUUCGGAUUUAUUGGGCGUAAAGGGUGCGUAGGCGGUUUGGCAAGUCUUGUGUGAAAUCUUCGGGCUCAACCCGAAGCCUGCACAAGAAACUGCCGGGCUUGAGUAUGGGAGAGGUGAGUGGAAUUUCCGGUGUAGCGGUGAAAUGCGUAGAUAUCGGAAGGAACACCUGUGGCGAAAGCGGCUCACUGGACCAUAACUGACGCUGAGGCACGAAAGCUAGGGGAGCAAACAGG